CUAGACUGAUCUGGCCCAUAGGUCCAACCCACUGAGACCUGCAUUUUCUUAACCAAGGAGCUGUGGGCUUGGAGCCUCACACUGUCUCUGAUUCUCUCUCACUGGAAAAGUCGACGUGGACUGUGCACUCGGCAUGUGCAGGCCCAUUUUACAGAUGAAGAAGCUGAGGACUCGACAGAUUUUCCCAGGGUUACAAGAGGAGGAGGUGGAGGUGGUCCCUGGGCUGGGAGGAAGAGGAAGAACCUUCCAGGCAGAGGAUAUGACUGCUGAGAAGGCCCCAAGAAGGGAGGGGCAUGGUACAUGUAAGGGACAGAAAAGUCAGUGUGGUGGAGGACAGGAGAUGGGCCAAGGGGAGGCUGGGGAGGACCAUGGCACCAAGGUAAGGAUGUGGUCUCUAACCUGAGUGGAGGGAAGCUACUGGAAGGUCUUCAAAACUCUCCAGGGGAUUCUAAUAUGGAUUCAAGGUUGAAAACCAGUGGGACAAUGGUGGUGGCAGUUGAGCAGGAAAGUGGCUGGACUUGAGUAGUACCUAGACUUCAGUUUAUAGGGUUUGGCAUGAUUGAUUGUGUGGUAGGGAGGGAAAGGGGAGGCAUGGAGAAUGAAAGAGGAAAUAGCAAGUGACAUUAAUGGAGAGUCCCAGAGCAGGGAUCCGGGGACCUCUGGUUUUUAGGAGAUAACAGCUAAGCCGACACUCUUCUUAAGCGCCCAAGCUUCUGUCUGAGUAUGUGAGCUCAGGUGUACCCUGAAGCUUUUACAGGCUUUGAAGUCCAGAUCACUUUUGUCCUGGUAACCAAAAUGGCCUAAUUAAUGUGUUCAUAGCCCAACAUGGCAAGUGUCACAGUAUAGAUAUAACUACAACGUUAGAGUUGCUGAGAGAACUGAGUGACGAAUUCUGCCGGGGAAUAUCAGGGAGCGCUCUACUGAGGAGGUGCUGUUUGAGUUGGUACUUAAAGGAUCAGCAGAAGUUCUUGGAUGAAAAAAGAAGGGUGUGCCAGGGCGUUGGGUGGUGAAGGGCCCAUUGGGUCUGGGAAACAGUGGGAGGUUCAGAGUGGCACGACUAGGCGUGUCAGGGAAGGCAGUGGGGACACGGCUGGCCAGAGCACGGGGACCCACUGGGAAGAGCUGUGGACGCCAAGUGCAGGACUUGGUAACUUCACCGUCCAACUUACAAACUUCCCUCCUCACAGGACUUGGUCUCUUGCCUUUUGUUGGGGAGCUCUGAACAUAAGAGAAUCCUUGGAGCCAACAGGCCCCUGGGAGUUCAUCUCAUCCAUUCCCUUGUCCUUAGGGAGUACUUGGUCUACAUUGUUUUUGCAUUAAGAGAAACUUUCCUGUUUUUGAAGCAUAUUAAGGAAUAAAAUCCUACAACUUCACUGGGUCUACCUUGCUUGGUCCAGGAGUCCUCAUCCUAAUUAUUUUCUUCUACAGUUUCAGCUUAUUUUUGUAGAUUCUCAAAGGAAUGGAAACAGUCUCCCUUUGUUAUAAUGAAAGAU